rnacentral:rRNA from 1 species
GACGAACGCUGGCGGCGUGCUAACACAUGCAAGUCGAACGAUGAAGGAGAGAGCUUGCUCUUUUUGGAUUAGUGGCGAACGGGUGAGUAACACGUGAGCAACCUGCCCCGGACUCUGGGAUAAGCGCUGGAAACGGUGUCUAAUACUGGAUAUGUGAUGUGACCGCAUGGUCUGCGUCUGGAAAGAUUUUUCGGUUGGGGAUGGGCUCGCGGCCUAUCAGCUUGUUGGUGAGGUAAUGGCUCACCAAGGCGUCGACGGGUAGCCGGCCUGAGAGGGUGACCGGCCACACUGGGACUGAGACACGGCCCAGACUCCUACGGGAGGCAGCAGUGGGGAAUAUUGCACAAUGGGCGGAAGCCUGAUGCAGCAACGCCGCGUGGGGGAUGACGGCCUUCGGGUUGUAAACCUCUUUUAGCAGGGAAGAAGCGUGAGUGACGGUACCUGCAGAAAAAGCGCCGGCUAACUACGUGCCAGCAGCCGCAGUAAGAC